rnacentral:lncRNA from 1 species
AUACAAUAAUGAAAAUCAAUGUAAAUAUAUAUAAUGAAGAUAUAAUAAAGAUAAAGAAUAAACAAUAUACAUGACAGAAUAGCAAACCAAUAUAUGAUAAAACAAUAUAUACAUGAAAUAAUUUUAAAUAACAAGGAAAUUAUAAAACAUGUUUUUAGAGAAUAAAUUAUAUACGUAAUAAAUUUGAAAAGAAAUACAAAUAAAUAGAUUUAAAAGAAAUUAUAUGUGUAAAAUAACAUAGAACUAAUAAUGUGUACAAAAUAAACUACACUUAUCAUAAAUCAUACAUUAUCAAUAUAAGUUAAACGUAAAUUAAAUAUUAUAAAAAAUUUUGACAACAACAUGAUAUACAAAGUAAUUUUAAGAUAAUAGUUUAAUAAUAAAAGAGUGAAUUAUCAAAAUAAUUUAAAAUGUAUAUGAAAAUAAAAUAAAUGCUAAACGAACUAAAAAGAUAAUGAACUAAAUUAAAAGGACUCAAUUAAAAUACGAUUAAAAUGAAUAGGCUAGUUUAUAAAUAAAAUAAUCAAAAGAGGGCCAAUGCGUGAUGCGCGUCAAUGUAAAAUGACUAGAACUGGAAAUAACCCAAGUUCUAAAACGCAGAGCAGAGACACGGACUAAAGCGCAAACACGCGCAAAUUACAGGGCUAAUUUAAAAAAUGAAGCGGAAUAGAUAAGGCGCGAUUGAAUGCGCAUGCAAAAGGAGAGGACUUAAUGCACAAUUAACCCUCCAAGGCCAAAAGCUCGGGUCUCAUCCGAACGUGGGCCGGGUUAUCGGGUCGGUGCUCUUAAACGGCACCGUUUUGAAGCCAUAGGAAUUGGCCUAAAACGACGUCAUUUCCUUCAUUUUAUAGAAACCAAAAUUUAAACAAACCUUAAACUGAUUCUUGGUCAUUUGAAAAGAAAACAAAACAGAUCCUAAAGCCCCUUUUCUUCCCCUCUCAUUCGGCCGAAUCAAGAGGCACCCUUGGACUGCCGUUUGGCCUCCAUGUUUAGCCGCCGGUCAUCACGCUAAAGCCUAAUCCGACUUCGUCCAACCACGAAUCCAAGGCUACGCUCAAAGGUCUCAGAAUCAACCCUCAAACUCCGAUUGCAACGAAGCCAGUGAGGAUUCGAGGGAACCAAAAACGAGGUAAGCCCCUUUUUUUUCUUUCGAAUAUAUGAACACAAAACCCAGGCGAAUGAAACUAAAAGAAAUCCGAGAUUUGAAUCGGAAAAUCACCUGGAUCGAUUUUAUAUAUUUGAUUGUCCUUUUUUUUGUUGAAUCUGUUCGUAGUUUUUACAAAAGGAAAGGUUCUUGGCUUUAUAGCCAAACCAAAUAAAACGACAAAGAAAAAUACAAUUCCUUUUCUUUUUUCAUUGCUCUGCUUGUUUUUUUGCUAUUGCUAUUGUGGUCGUCCUUUGCUUGUCUUUAUUUGCAGGUACGGAGGCAACGUGGUAGGGGUAGCUGGCGCGUACGGAGGCUGAUGGUGGUGUCGACGUGGAGGCGCCAUUCAUGGUAGUGCUGGAGGCUACUGCGUUCCUUGCUGCUAGGGUUCUGGAACAUUGAUAAUUUGGGCUUUUCGGGCCUAUUCUAGUAGUUGGGCCAUAAUUUUUGUAAUUGGAUUGUAAACUGGGCCGCUAUUGACAUUUGUAUUUUUAUAUUAUUGUAUUUUUCAUUUUUUUGUGGUUUUUGUUUGAUUUGUGUUUGCACGGGCCCGGGCCAAAAUUGGGCAUUACAAUUAUUAUUUAUUACUAUCCUUUUUUAUGGUUUCACAUAAUCCUUAUUCAUUUCCAACUAGUUUUUUUUUUUCAAAUUCUCUUAACUUAUUCAUUGUUUCUCUCUUAUUUUAGCUUAUCCGUUUUAUUUUAUUUUAUUUUAUUUUUACUUUUAUCGUUAUCGUUCACGUUUGCGUUUAUGUUCAUUCUGUUAUGCUCAUUAAUACUGAGA